rnacentral:rRNA from 1 species
UACAGAGGGGGCAAGCGUUAUUCGGAAUUAUUGGGCGUAAAGGGCGCGUAGGCGGCUUGGCAAGUGGAUGGUGAAAUCCCUCGGCUUAACCGAGGAACUGCCGUCCAAACUGCUUCGCUUGAGACCGGGAGAGGUGAGUGGAAUUCCCAGUGUAGCGGUGAAAUGCGCAGAUAUCGGGAGGAACACCAAUGGCGAAGGCAGCUCGCUGGGACGUUACUGACGCUGAGACGCGAAAGCGUGGGGAGCAAACAGGG